ensembl:lncRNA
AAACUUAACUCCAAACUUGGAAGUGACACUAAAUUUCUGGUAAAUCUACCCUCCCCCACCAUUGCCUAUAAAGCCCACGUGGUACAAACUGCACAGUCUCGUCCCAACAGUGUAAGCAGUCUCUUUGAAACCUGUAUAGCCUCUUGUGAAACCUGCAUAGCCUAUGGAAGGACAUUAUUCGCGACAGACAAAUUUAGUCUGCAGGCUCAACUUCUAUCCGAGGGUGUGUUAGCCUUGACUGAUACAUCAGAUACCGAGGUUGAUGCAGACACAUUUGAUGAGCUGAUAAAGUCAGGGGUCCGAAACUUCAAGGUUGGAUACCGCAAGUACCCAGUAACAGAGUUGGACAUUGAAUUGGUGGAAUACAACUCGCAGUCCUCCGUAUUGUCAGACUCCACAGCAUCACCAGUUUCAUUGCCAGGACCCCCCGCAUCACCAGCUUCUACAAGUUCAGAUUCGACAAUCAUCUUCCCAUCCACUAAAAUCCGGAAGAGAGGCCUGGUAGAGCUGGAUCGUAAUGAAGCAAGACAGAAAUUACGGAUUCACAUGGGUAAGAAAUCCUUUCAAAUGACAGAGGAAAAACAUUGGUCUGCGCCCCUUGGUCUGCUCUGUAUGCGGAUUCCCCCCAGAAGUGUCAGGACUAGUUAUGCAUUCGGAAUUGUGAACCUUUUCCCAUAUCUACAAGAUCCGUACUCAAAGCAUGGAUAUGUAAGUCUUUUUGAUGUCCAAAAACAGUUGUUUUCAUCAUCGAUCGAUGUUUCUGCCUUAUAUUUCUAAAUGUUUUGAUUGUGUGUGAACAGGAACAUUACUAUGACCCUGAGGCGAAUACUGGCUAUCUUGCUUGGAGACUCAAGACAGUCCAACGCAACACGCACAAUGGCCUCCGUGGGCAUUCCAGGCCCAAUCCCCAGGUCAGGCCAACAACCCAACGAAAAUCUUUGUUGAUUGCUGAACAGCUCAAGGAUGAGGAGUGCAGAGAGGCCGUGUCUGCAAUAAGACACUCCACAGAUGAAUCCGUGGUCAAAGAGAAGAUGAGAGCCACCUUCGAAUACAGACAGAAGCUGGUUCAUGACCAGGAUGCAACAUCUUCGGUCUUUGACGUCUUCCCUCGUUUCCUUGGCAUACCCGGACUGGUAUCGCUUUCUAACAGUUUUGAGAUCCCAUUUUAACUUUUAUUAAUUAGUCUGUUUUUAGGAUCCCCUGCUGCUGUUUUGUACGGUUUUAGUUGUUCUGUUUAGCUGUGCUGUUUUGUUUUGGUUCCGUUUGCUAUUUUGUUUUGGUUGCUUUGGUUCAGUUUGCUUUUGUGUUAUUUCCCCUUUUCUGUUUCAUUGUUUGACCUUUGGGUUAAUGGGUUACAUAACCCCUGUUUUGCUGUUUGGUUUGGUUUGGUUUUGCUCCACUUUUCUUUAUUUCUUUAUUAUUGUAUUAAAAGAAACAGUUAAUAUAUUUGUCUCUGCCUCUUUAGUUCUUGAACCUGUGUCCUUAUUAUUUCUGUAAUAUCAUAUCAUUUGUUCUAUAUUUCCUGAGGUGUAAUUCCCCAGGUGGCAUUGUCGGUCCCUCUUUAGUUAGUUCCCCCUCCCCUCGUUAAUAUUGACUUUUACACUGAGCCCCGCCACAUCUUGGCGUAGUCGGCAGAAUUUCUUUGAGGCAGAGACUUGUAGUUUUCAUUUUUUUUCCACAACCCAAUUGAUUUGUAUGUAGUUUGUUAGGGUUUAUUUUUUUUCUACAAAACAGCAGCAGGUGCCGGGCAGUUCCUGGCACGGACAGUUUCUCUCAC